rnacentral:sRNA from 1 species
UCGACUAAGGUUCGGCUCGAGCGUCAGCGAGAGAGCGUUGCCGCAGGCAACGACCCGAAGGGCGAAGCGCGCAGCGCUGAGUAAUCCUUCCCCCACCACCA